GGAUUAUAUAUAUACUAUUUUAACACCUAUAUAUCGUAUCAACCGAUAAAAACACAUUAAAGGCUCAGCUUGGGCUACAUUAGUGUUGGGAGUGAUGAUGUGCGUCAACACAGACCAACACCAAUUAGGGGUAGUACUGUGGAAUUAGGGGUAGUACUGUGGAAUUAGGGGAAGUUACUGUGGAAACUAGGGGAAGUCCUGUGGAUUAGGUGUCGUCCUGUGGAAUUUAGGGGAGGAAGUACUGUGGAACUAGGGGAAGUACUGUGGACUUAGGGAAGCACUGUGGGAAUUAGGGUAGUAUUGUGGAAUUAGGGGUAGCGAGUAACGUACUGGGCUAGGGGUAGUACUGUGGGAAUUAGGGUGUAGUACUUUGGAACUUAGGGGUAGUAAGUGGAAUUCGGGGUAGUACUGUGGAAUUAGGGGACGUAUGUGUAAUAGGGGUAGUCCUGUUGGAAUUAGGGGAAGUACUGUGGAACUCGGGACGUACUGUGGAACUAGGGGAAGUACUGUGGAAUUAGGUGUAGUACUGUGGAAUUAGGGGAAGGGGGAAGUACUGUGGAACUAGGGGAAGUACUGUUGAAACUACGGGAAGUAUGUGGAACUAGGGGAAGUACUGUGGAACUAGGGGCAGUUACUGUGGAACUAGGGGAGGUACUGUGGAAUACUGUGGAAUUAGGGGAUGUCUGUGGAAUUAGGGGGCAGUAUGGGAAAUUAGGGGUUUAAUUUCUUAAAUAACCAUUUUGAAUGGUAACUUCAAAUAAAUCAUGCAUUAUGUUAUUCACAGGGAAACGGCACCAGUUGGGAUGUGGGUUACACCCUAGCACGUAAUGCAACAAAAAAAUGACUUUUAACUGCCUACCGGUAAAAAGGUAAUAUAAAUAAAUAAAGGUGAUAUCAAAUAAGGGUCUACAUUAAACCCAUUCCCAUCAAUCUACAUAUUACUCCGCCUGACGUAGUAACAAAAUGAACAUCACAGCACCCAGUCUACAUGAAAACCUCAUCUAAAUACUACUCAGCCUGCGUAGUAACAAAUGAACACACCGCACCAGUCUAAAUGAAAACAUAAUCUAAAUAUUACUCCGCCGCCCGUUAGUAAACAAAUGAAAACCACAGCGCACCAGUCUAAACUGAACCCCACAGCACCAGUCUAAAUGAAAACCCCAGAGCACCAGUCUAAAAUGAAAACCACAGAGCCCCAGCUAAAUUAAACACAGCACCCGUCUAAAUGAAAACAUAAUCUAACUAUUACUCAGCCUGGUAAUAACAAAUGCACACCCAGCCCCAGUCUAAUAUGAAAACAUAAUCUAACUCUACUCCGCUGCGUAGUACCAAAUGAAAACCACCAGAGAACACCAGUCUAAAUGAAAAACCCACAGAGAACACAGUCUAAAUGAAAACACAGAGAACCCAGUCUAAAUGAAAACCACAGAGAACACCAGUCUAAAGAAAACCACAGACGACACACCAGUCCUAAAUGAAAACACGAGGAAAACACCAGUCUAAAUGAACCCACGAGAACCGUCUAAAUGAAAAACCCACAGAGAAACACCAGCUUAAAUUGAAAACCCAGAACACCAGUCUAAAUUAUGCAAACCACAGAGAACACCAGUCUAAUUGGGGAAAACCACAGGACUCUACCAAUCUAAAUAUUGCAAACAUUCUAGGCCGUCAUUGCAAAUAAGAAUUUGUUCUUAACUGACUUGCCUGUUAAAUUUAAAGGUAAAAAAUGGUUAAAAUAAAUAAUAACUGAGAGAACCUCUAGCUCCGGCUAAACAAGCCGUGCCUUUUUCCUACGGAUGUGAGGGUGGACACCAGGGAGGGGGAAGAGACUCCAUUGGUCUGUUUUAAUUCUCUCCUUUACCAAGACAGAAAUCCCCACUAAAGUCCACUCUUCAGGGGGUUCAGGCAGAGCUUAGCGCUGACGAUAAUGAAGGCUAGUCAAAACAAAACAUACAUGU
ensembl:lncRNA